AUUGAACGCUGGCGGCAUGCCUUACACAUGCAAGUCGAACGGCAGCACGGGAGCUUGCUCCUGGUGGCGAGUGGCGAACGGGUGAGUAAUAUAUCGGAACGUACCCUAGAGUGGGGGAUAACGCAGCGAAAGUUGCGCUAAUACCGCAUACGAUCUACGGAUGAAAGUGGGGGAUCGCAAGACCUCAUGCUCAUGGAGCG
rnacentral:rRNA from 1 species